UGAGACAGCAAGAAAAAUGAGGGACUUUCAGGGGCAGCUGUGUUUUACUAACCCAGUCAUAAUGCCCCUAAAAAUCCUUAUUGUUCCUUGCAAUGUU
ensembl:miRNA